rnacentral:miRNA from 2 species
UGCUGGAUCAGUGGUUCGAG